ACUGGUGUGAAUUGCAGGAUCCCGUGAACCAUCGAGUCUUUGAACGCAAGUUGCGCCCGAAGCCAUUAGGCCGAGGGCACGUCUGCCUGGGCGUCACGC
rnacentral:rRNA from 1 species